rnacentral:rRNA from 1 species
GACGAACGCUGGCGGCGUGCUUAACACAUGCAAGUCGAACGGAAAGGCCCUGCUUUUGUGGGGUGCUCGAGUGGCGAACGGGCGAGUAACACGUGAGUAACCUGCCCUUGACUUUGGGAUAACUUCAGGAAACUGGGGCUAAUACCGGAUAGGAGCUCCUGCUGCAUGGUGGGGGUUGGAAAGUUUCGGCGGUUGGGGAUGGACUCGCGGCUUAUCAGCUUGUUGGUGGGGUAGUGGCUUACCAAGGCUUUGACGGGUAGCCGGCCUGAGAGGGUGACCGGCGACAUUGGGACUGAGAUACGGCCCAGACUCCUACGGGAGGCAGAAGUGGGGAAUAUUGCACAAUGGGCGGAAGCCUGAUGCAGCAACGCCGCGUGCGGGAUGACGGCCUUCGGGUUGUAAACCGCUUUCGCCUGUGACGAAGCGUGAGUGACGGUAAUGGGUAAAGAAGCACCGGCUAACUACGUG